GGAUGGCCCUAGUAACGGCGAGUGAAGCGGCAACAGCUCAAAUUUGAAAUCUGGCUCCCUCUGGGGUCCGAGUUGUACUUUGCAGAGGGCGCUUUGGCGUCGGCAGCGGUCUAAGUUCCUUGGAACAGGACGUCACAGAGGGUGAGAAUCCCGUACGUGGCUGCUUGCCUUCGCCGUGUAAAGCCCCUUCGACGAGUCGUGUUGUUUGGGAAUGCAGCACUAAAUGGGAGGUAAAUUUCUUCUAAAGCUAAAUACCGGCCAGAGACCGAUAGCGCACAAGUAGAGUGAUCGAAAGAUGAAAAGCACUUUGGAAAGAGAGUCAAAAAGCACGUGAAAUUGUUGAAAGGGAAGCGCUUGCAGCCAGACUUGCUUGCGGUUGCUCAUCCGGGCCUGUGCCCGGUGUACUCUUCCGCAGGCAGGCCAGCAUCAGUUUGGGCGACUGGAGAAAGGCCUCUGUCAUGUACCUUCCCUCGGGAAGGCCUUAUAGGGGAGGCGUAAUGCAGCCAGUCCAGACUGAGGUCCGCGCAUCUGCUAGGAUGCUGGCGUAAUGGCUGUAAGCGGCCCGUCUUGAAACACGGACCAAGGAGUCUAACAUCUAUGCGAGUGUUUGGGUGUCAAGCCCGAGCGCGUAAUGAAAGUGAACGGAGGUGAGAACCCUCGGGUGCAUCAUCGACCGAUCCUGAUGUCUUCGGAUGGAUUUGAGUAAGAGCAUAGCUGUUGGGACCCGAAAGAUGGUGAACUAUGCUUGAAUAGGGUGAAGCCAGAGGAAACUCUGGUGGAAGCUCGCAGCGGUUCUGACGUGCAAAUCGAUCGUCAAAUUUGGGCAUAGGGGCGAAAGACUAAUCGAACUAUCUAAUAGC
rnacentral:rRNA from 1 species